rnacentral:tRNA from 1 species
GAUCCCGUAGCUCAGCGGUAGAGCGUUCGCCUUUUAAGCGACAGGUCAUGGGUUCGGCUCCCAUCGGGAUCA